CCCCACUGUGGUCGAAACCCCAGUAGUAUCAAACUGUGUGUGUGUGUGUGUAGUGGGUUUUCCUAUACAUAUAGUCAUAUGUAUACAUAUGACUGUGUACAUAUCAUGUACAUAUGUAUGUGAUAAAGUUUAACUUAUUAAUUGGGUGCAGAGAUUAACAACAAUUUGAUGUACUAUGUAAGUACACAAAUACUCUCCCAAUAUCUCAUCGUACUAUAUUCUCCCUUCUGCUUCUUGUCUAUUUAAAUUACAUUCUAAUAUUUUUAUUCUCUCAUUUUAGUGAAAAAGCACCUUGGUUCUGAUCCACCUGUGAAUGGGUCCUGGUGUCCGUUGUUUAGAAAAGAGAGGCUGGGCCGGGCGAGCCCCUCUGUAGAUGUUCAUCGGUGCAUGAAUGCGUGCAGAAUGGAUGGAUGGCAGAGCUGGGCAGGUUUCCACAAAACGACUCCGUGCUGUUUCAGUUCCUCGGGCUCGGUUACGUGGUUCUCAGGUCCUGUCAGGCUGCGAUACUGAAACGGGAGCACUGCCUACCCUCCAAGCUGUGGAGAGGACUCGGACACAAACAAGAACAGCGCAUCCGAUCCACCACGUGUUUCGCACCUGGACCCUGACCACAGCCCCCGCCCCUCUGCCUUCUCACCGGGCUGCUUGAGCAGCCGCCGCCAAGGAAAACGGACCGCAGGCCGACGCUGCUUCUCUGCCAAAGCCUCCUGUGACCGUCAACCCGUCCCGGACCAAAGGCCCUGCUCUCGUGAGCUGCGGGGCCCUGUGCGUCUGCCACCCAGCGACCCGUCUGUCCUCUCCCUGCCCCCGGCUCUGGACCACACCUNNNNNNNNNNNNNNNNNNNNNNNNNNNNNNNNNNNNNNNNNNNNNCGGGCUCUGCUGGGGGUGCCCGGGACCCACCUCCGCCCUCCCUCAGCCCCGCCCGCCUGCUCCCCACCCACACGCACACUCAUCACCACCUGUCGGCACCCUGCAAGGGCCCGGCCCUUGUCUCUGCCUCCUCUGCCUGCAGAGCGCCAUGGAGCGCAGGGUUCUUGUGCCCUGGCUGCAUUCAGGUGCCACACUCCGGCGUCUGCAGAGGAUUGGAUGUGAUUUGUCCCUUGCUGGCUCACGUGCCAGAGGCUUGGUCCUCAGUGUGGUGA
rnacentral:lncRNA from 1 species